rnacentral:misc_RNA from 1 species
GGAUGGAGCUGGAGUUUUCCAUAAGAAUCUAGAAGAGUCGGGGAGUUCGCUGGAGUCUUCCAGAGAGCUAGAGGAAAGGUCAAGAUUCAGAGGGUGACGAAGAUUCAAUGGAGGUUUUAUUACUGUCUAGUCUUGGAAGUUCCAGCAUAUGAGAGAUGCUGCUCAUCUAGAAGGCCGAGAUGUUGUCACUGGUCCGAAUUAGAUGAUGAUGCCAUGUAGUGAAGAUCUUCUCAUCACCUGAGGUGAGUUUUAAUGCAGCUUCACUUGAUGAUGUUAGGA